ensembl:lncRNA
GCGACUCAGCGACCCGGCGGAUCCCAGGCGGAGCUCAGGGGAGGAGCCGCGCGCGGAGACCUCGCGAGAGGAGGAGGAGGAGGUUGCAGCUGCGCAUGCUCGAUUGUAGACUCCUAACAUACAGAUCCAUGCGCGAGUUCCUCCAGGGACAGUUGAGAAGAUUCAGAACAGGGAUUUGCAUGGAAUACGCGGAGAGGUGGGGAGUGUGCAAUGCAUUAAAAAGGCAACAAAGCCUUCUAGAGUUUCUCAGCACAACAGUCCUGCUGGAUCAGAGCAAAGACCCAUCCUUUCAGGUAUCCUGCUUCUCACAGAGACAAAUGAGAUACCUUCAGGAAGUUCACAAGCAGCACAUGAAGGCAACAGGCUCUCCUCUUAUAGUACACAUAAAUAAACUGGUCUUUGGAUAUACUGAUUCUGAUCAUGGAGGUCGCACUUUAUCAUCUUUCCCUCCAUUGGGAAACGUCCAUAGCUCAAUGGUAGAGCAUCUUCCUUUCAGAAGAAGAAGAGCUUGGAUUUGAUAUCCCGCUUUAUCACUAUCGUAAGGAGUCACAAAGCGGCUAACAAUCUCCUUUUCCCUUCCUGCCCCACAACAAACACUCUGAGAGUGAGGCUGAGAGACCUCAGAGAAGUGUGGCUAGCCCAAGGUCACCCAGCAGCUGCCUGUGGAGGAGCGGGGAAGCGAACCCGGUUCACCAGAUUACGAGUCUACCGCUCUUAACCACUACACCACGCUGGCUCUGCAAGAAGUCCCAAAUUCAAUCCCUGCCAUCUCCAGGUUGGGCUGGGAGAGAUGCCUGCCUGAAACCUUCGGAUGCCGCUGCUAGUCGGUGUAAACAGUACUGAACUGGAUGAACCAAUCAUGGUCUGAUUCACUAUAAGGCACUUUAUAUAUGCCUUAGGUGUGAGUGCUGUUAUUUAGGUAACCAAAAGGGCACCAUUCUCACAAGAAAGAAAUAUCAGCAUUGUUGUCCAUAUGAGUUUUCUUGAUAUUUGCAAGUAUUCAUUGACUUUUAAAGUAUAUUCCUGUAGUAUGGAGACGAAAGGCAGGACCAGAAAAGUGGAUUGUGUGAAUCCUGAACUAAAAGUAGUAAGAGACUUAUAGCUUGAGCCUGGAAGGAUAAAUACCUACUGCCUGAAGACCUCACCAUCCUUGCUAUAUUUGAACACAUUUUUUAUAUGUCAGUUUCAUGAGGAUACGUAUUUGGACAUGUAAAUGGCUUACAUAGAUUUAUAUACAGUGGGCUUGUAACUUAUGCCCCCUUUGCAUAUGUGAUUGCAAUCUUACGCGGGUCAGAGGGAAAUAAAUAAAUAGAUGGAGAUCAGGGAAUAUUCACAGUUCCCCACUCUCCAUUUAUUCCCCCCCCCCACCAGUUCACUCAAUGUGUUUUCCUUGCUUACUAGCCUCUGCAAUGGUCAUACCCUGGGAAGCUUCCAGAGCCCUCACACAUCUUUUCUAGAACCCGAUAAACAGCCCUUUGCCUCAUUAGGGGGCAUUUCCAGUGGUUCCUGACUUUGCUUGGUUUUGCCUUUGCACAUGGACCCCCAGAACAGAUUCCUUGCAUAUGUUGUGGGCAAACUGUACAGAUGAUUAUAGUAUUAUCAAUGUGAACUGAUGGGAAAUUUCCCCUUUUUUUCACUCCCCCACCUCUCUGUUUUUCUUAACUUUUCUUUCUUUGUUUUUCUUCAUGAUGCAAAUUCUGGUACUCACACUGCAGAAGUAUGGACCUGCAACUGGUCAGACCCCCCUCUUUGGGGUGUGUGAGGUUUUAUUUUAAUUUUAGUUAAAACAUUUGUACCCCUCCUGAUGCAGAGAGGUUGCUAAAGGACGUUAUUCCCAGAUCAAGCAGAAGAAUAAGUCAAAUAGCUUUAAUCACUCAAUAAGAAGACAGGAAACAAUGUUUAGAUGAAUAGCAGAGACCGGCCACAUCUGUUUGUUUCAAAUAGCCAUAGGAAUAUAUUUAACUUCUGAAUGGCAAAUGGGAAGUGUUUUAAAGCAAGGGUGUUAGUUUGCCUACACACUGCACAUAAAUUGACAUUCCCUCUGUUUCCAGGGUUCAGAGUAGGAGUGUCGUUGCUUAUGUUGCCAAAAUGGCAUCACCCACACACAAGAAAGAGGCAUCAGCAAGCAUUGGGAAACUUCAAAGUUUGCAGAAGUAUGAGAGAAUCUUGGGGUGGGGGGACCCAAGAACAGUUGAUGAGGACUCAACUUGCUCAGUGGCUGUAGAAUGAAGGUGGAAUCCAGUUGGCAAGCCAGAGGGAGAAGGAAUGGAACGGAGGAGCUGGAAUCCUGAGCAGGGAGUACCUCAGGCUGCAGCAUUCUGUUGCAGGACCCACUCCUGCAUUCUGAUGCCAUCCUCCGCCAUUUAUUGUAGUACAUCCCAGGGAGACCCCUUAGAGUACUGCACUUGACUUGGGGCUGCACUGACUUGACAACGCAGCCGUUGAUUGAGUCUCGGUU